GACGAACGCUGGCGGCGUGCUUAACACAUGCAAGUCGAACGGAAAGGUCCUGCUUUUGUGGGGUGCUCGAGUGGCGAACGGGUGAGUAACACGUGAGUAACCUGCCCUUGACUUUGGGAUAACUUCAGGAAACUGGGGCUAAUACCGGAUAGGAGCUCCUGCUGCAUGGUGGGGGUUGGAAAGUUUCGGCGGUUGGGGAUGGACUCGCGGCUUAUCAGCUUGUUGGUGGGGUAGUGGCUUACCAAGGCUUUGACGGGUAGCCGGCCUGAGAGGGUGACCGGCCACAUUGGGACUGAGAUACGGCCCAGACUCCUACGGGAGGCAGCAGUGGGGAAUAUUGCACAAGGGGCGGAAGCCUGAGGCAGCAACGCCGCGUGCGGGAUGACGGCCUUCGGGUGGUAAACCGCUUUCGCCUGGGACGAAGCGUGAGUGACGGUAAUGGGUAAAGAAGCACCGGCUAACUACGUG
rnacentral:rRNA from 1 species